rnacentral:rRNA from 1 species
GGGGAAUAUUGGACAAUGGGCGAAAGCCUGACCCAGCCAUGCCGCGUGUGUGAAGAAGGUCUCGGGAUUGUAAAGCAAUUUAAGUGGGGAGGAAGGGCGGCAAGUUAAUACCUUGAAGUUUUGACGUUACCGGCAGAAUAAGCACGGGUUAAUUCCGUGCCAGCAGCCGCGGUAAUACGAAGGGUGCAAGCGUUAAUCGGAAUUACUGGGCGUAAAGCGCGCGUAGGUGGUUUGGGUAAGAUGGAUGUGAAAUCCCCGGGCUCAACCUGGGAACUGCAUCCAUAACUGCCUGACUAGAGUACGGUAGAGGGUGGUGGAAUUUCCUGUGUAGCGGUGAAAUGCGUAGAUAUAGGAAGGAACACCAGUGGCGAAGGCGACCACCUGGACUGAUACUGACACUGAGGUGCGAAAGCGUGGGGAGCAAACA